rnacentral:rRNA from 1 species
AUUGAACGCUGGCGGCAUGCUUUACACAUACAAGUCGAACGGUAACAGGGAGCUUGCUCCGCUGACGAGUGGCGAACGGGUGAGUAAUGCGUCGGAACGUGCCGAGUAGUGGGGGGUAACGCAUCGAAAGGUGUGCUAAUACCGCAUACGUACUGAGGUAGAAAGUGGGGGACCUUCGGGCCUCACGCUAUUCGAGCGGCCGACGUCUGAUUAGCUAGUUGGUGAGGUAAAGGCUCACCAAGGCGACGAUCAGUAGCGGGUCUGAGAGGAUGAUCCGCCACACUGGGACUGAGACACGGCCCAGACUCCUACGGGAGGCAGCAGUGGGGAAUUUUGGACAAUGGGCGCAAGCCUGAUCCAGCCAUGCCGCGUGUCUGAAGAAGGCCUUCGGGUUGUAAAGGACUUUUGUCCGGGAGCAAAUGCCUGGUGUUAAUAGCACUGGGAGCUGAGAGUACCGGAAGAAUAAGCACCGGCUAACUACGUGCCAGCCGCCGCCGUAAUAC